rnacentral:lncRNA from 1 species
AGAGAUGGAGACUAACGUCUUCCAAGGGAGAUUGCGUCUCCACUUUCACCCUGGUACUGAGAGGUUGAGCACAAAAUUGGUAACCAAUGCUGCGCUUCCAGCAAAUUUUCCCACCAGCACCCAAUCCUGGGAUAUUUAUUCUCUUUGUCUCACAUCCUACAGGAACGCAGUCGCGGGGUAUAUCCCCCUGAAAACCGUACGUUGCCAAAUAAUGAUUUCUUUGGAUUAGAGAACUACAACUCCCCUGGGUCCUGAGCCGGUAUUUCCCUUUUGCGGCUGCACCGUAGUUAAAAACAAAGCUAAGUGUUCUGGGACGUAUAGUUCUAGCGUUCCUUGGGUCCCGCUGGCGAGCGUGGGCUUUCUGCAGCUCGCAACCGGCCUCGUGCUUUGCGGACGGUUCACUGCGCUUGGAAAGGGAUUGGCCUGGGGUACAUCAUCUAAAGAUCCUAGGAUUGCUGCAGGUCAGCAGUCUCCACUGGAAAAAAAGAUCUUGCAUGUAUUUCAAGUCCUCUGAUGAAUCAUGUGAUCUACUAGACCCUGAAGAUACAGUGAAGAGCAAAAGAACACAGAUGAAAUGAGAAACAAAAACGAUGGAGAAAACCAAAAAAGGGGACACAUGGGAUCCAGGCAAUAGGAGAGCCAGCAUAAGAGAGAGCCAGAGGGAUGCCCAGGAUGAGGUGAAGACGAUCUUGGAAAUCAGCCCAGAUGUGCAUGCACCAGUCCACGUGUGGCAGGACCAAGGGAAGUGUCUUCACAAAGAUGAGGCUUUGAUUUGUUGGAGAAACUGUUACCAGAAAAACAGGUCCCGAUCCCGACCCCAAAAGAGUAUUCUUGGAUCUUGCACAGGAAGGAAUUAAAGGUCUAGCUCUGUCUCCUCAGCACAUGUUCUAGGCUCUGACUGCAAGUGCUGACUUGGGCUCCCAGCCCCACACAGACCCUCUGUUCCAUGAAAGGGCCAUCUAUGCAAAGUGCCCCCCAAAUGCCAAAGGAGCCAAUAAACCAAGGAACAAGACA